rnacentral:rRNA from 1 species
UGCCAGCCGCCGCGGUAAUACAGAGGGUGCGAGCGUUGUUCGGAAUCACUGGGCGUAAAGCGCGUGUAGGCGGAACAGUAAGUCGGAUGUGAAAGCCCUCGGCUCAACCGAGGAAGUGCAUCCGAUACUGCUGAUCUGGAGUCCCGGAGGGGGUGGCGGAAUUCCCGGUGUAGAGGUGAAAUUCGUAGAUAUCGGGAGGAACACCUGUGGCGAAGGCGGCCACCUGGACGGGUACCGACGCUGAGACGCGAAAGCGUGGGUAGCAAACAGGAUUAGAUA